UGGGCUGAGACGUGAUGACGAGGUACUACGGUACUGAAGUGACAAAUGCCAUGCUUCCGGGAAAAGCCUCUAAGCUCCAGGUAACACGAAAUCGUACCCCAAACCGACACAGGUGGUCAGGUAGAGAAUACCAAGGCGCUUGAGAGAACUCGGGUGAAGGAACUAGGCAAAAUGGUGCCGUAACUUCGGGAGAAGGCACGCUGGCGCGUAGGUGAAGGGACUUGCUCCCGGAGCUGAAGCCAGUCGAAGAUACCAGCUGGCUGCAACUGUUUAUUAAAAACACAGCACUGUGCAAACACGAAAGUGGACGUAUACGGUGUGACGCCUGCCCGGUGCCGGAAGGUUAAUUGAUGGGGUUAUCCGUAAGGAGAAGCUCUUGAUCGAAGCCCCGGUAAACGGCGGCCGUAACUAUAACGGUCCUAAGGUAGCGAAAUUCCUUGUCGGGUAAGUUCCGACCUGCACGAAUGGCGUAAUGAUGGCCAGGCUGUCUCCACCCGAGACUCAGUGAAAUUGAAAUCGCUGUGAAGAUGCAGUGUACCCGCGGCAAGACGGAAAGACCCCGUGAACCUUUACUAUAGCUUGACACUGAAUAUUGAGCCUUGAUGUGCAGGAUAGGUGGGAGGCACUGAAGUACGGACGCCAGUUCGUAUGGAGCCAUCCUUGAAAUACCACCCUUUAAUGUUUGAUAUUCUAACGUAGACCCGUAAUCCGGGUUGCGGACAGUGUCUGGUGGGUAGUUUGACUGGGGCGGUCUCCUCCCAAAGAGUAACGGAGGAGCACGAAGGUUAGCUAAUCACGGUCGGACAUCGUGAGGUUAGUGCAAAGGCAUAAGCUAGCUUGACUGCGAGAGUGACGGUUCGAGCAGGUGCGAAAGCAGGUCUUAGUGAUCCGGUGGUUCUGAAUGGAAGGGCCAUCGCUCAACGGAUAAAAGGUACUCCGGGGAUAACAGGCUGAUACCGCCCAAGAGUUCAUAUCGACGGCGGUGUUUGGCACCUCGAUGUCGGCUCAUCACAUCCUGGGGCUGAAGUAGGUCCCAAGGGUACGGCUGUUCGCCGUUUAAAGUGGUACGCGAGCUGGGUUUAGAACGUCGUGAGACAGUUCGGUCCCUAUCUGCCGUGGGCGUUGGAGAAUUGAGGGGGGUUGCUCCUAGUACGAGAGGACCGGAGUGAACGCACCACUGGUGUUCGGGUUGUCAUGCCAAUGGCAUUGCCCGGUAGCUAAGUGCGGAAAAGAUAAGUGCUGAAAGCAUCUAAGCACGAAACUUGCCCCGAGAUGAGUUCUCCCUGACUCCUUGAGAGUCCUGAAGGGACGUUGAAGACGACGACGUUGAUAGGCCGGAUGUGUAAGUGCA
rnacentral:rRNA from 1 species